UACAGAGGUCCCAAGCGUUGUUCGGAUUCACUGGGCGUAAAGGGGGCGUAGGUGGUGAGGUAAGUUUGAUGUGAAAUCUCCGGGCUCAACCCGGAAAUGGCAUUGAAUACUAUCUUGCUAGAGGAGUGGAGGGGGGACUGGAAUUCCUGGUGUAGCGGUGAAAUGCGCAGAUAUCAGGAGGAACACCGGUGGCGAAGGCGAGUCUCUGGGCCGUAACUGACGCUGAGGAGCGAAAGCAUGGGGAGCGAACAGG
rnacentral:rRNA from 1 species